CCUGGAUGAUCGUUGAUUUGGAUAAAGUGUACAGACAGAUCACAUUAGAGGGAAGGGAGUGUGCUGCCUAUGAGCAGUGAACAGCUGGGACAGAGCUGAUUGCAGGGUGGACUCCACCUCCCCUGCUGCUUUCAGACAUAACAGCUUCCUGGCCCUCUGGAAAGGAGCUCAGUGCAAGCCCCUUCUUAAAAGCUACCCAAAGCUAUUUCCAGGACCACACAUGGCUCUUGUCAAACUUUAACACCCCUUUACACUAAAGCUUCAUGGUACCCACUAGGGCAAUGGACCUGCCUUACAUUAAGGCUACUAUUGGCUGUGCAGUGUUCUUGAAGAAUAUGACAUACCUGAAGUCUGGCGUUCAUGCUUGAAGUGAAAUAAAAUUGGUAUAGGCCCCUCUUCCACCUCACCAUA